GGGGAUUUAGCUUAAUUAAAGUGAUUGAUUUGCGUUCAGUUGAUGUAAGAUAUAGUCUUGCAAUCCUUA
rnacentral:tRNA from 1 species